rnacentral:rRNA from 1 species
GCGGGUGGAGCGGUGGUUGGCCGCAGAGACCAGCGGAAAGCGACUGUUUACUAAAAACACAGGUCCAUGCGAAGUCGCAAGACGAUGUAUAUGGACUGACGCCUGCCCGGUGCUGGAACGUUAAGAGGACCGGUUAGCCAGCAAUGGCGAAGCUGAGAAUUUAAGCGCCAGUAAACGGCGGUGGUAACUAUAACCAUCCUAAGGUAGCGAAAUUCCUUGUCGGGUAAGUUCCGACCUGCACGAAUGGCGUAACGACUUUCCGGCUGUCUCGACCACAGGCCCGGCGAAAUUGCAUUACGAGUAAAGAUGCUCGUUACGCGCGGCAGGACGGAAAGACCCCGGGACCUUUACUAUAGUUUGGUAUUGGUUUUCGGUUCGGCUUGUGUAGGAUAGGUGGGAGACUGUGAAGCGCUCACGCUAGUGGGUGUGGAGUCGUUGUUGAAAUACCACUCUGGUCGGAUUGGGAAUCUGAACCUCGGACCAUGAUCUGGUUCAGGGACAGUGCCUGAUGGGUAGUUUAACUGGGGCGGUUGCCUCCUAAAGGGUAACGGAGGCGCCCAAAGGUUCCCUCAGCCUGGUUGGCAAUCAGGUGUCGAGUGCAAGUGCACAAGGGAGCUUGACUGUGAGACAGACAUGUCGAGCAGGGACGAAAGUCGGGACUAGUGAUCCGGCACCUCCUGGUGGAAGGGGUGUCGCUCAACGGAUAAAAGGUACCCCGGGGAUAACAGGCUGAUCUUGCCCAAGAGUCCAUAUCGACGGCAUGGUUUGGCACCUCGAUGUCGGCUCGUCGCAUCCUGGGGCCGGAGUAGGUCCCAAGGGUUGGGCUGUUCGCCCAUUAAAGCGGCACGCGAGCUGGGUUUAGAACGUCGUGAGACAGUUCGGUCCCUAUCCGCCGCGCGCGCAGGAUACUUGAGGAAGGCUGUCCCUAGUACGAGAGGACCGGGACGGACGGACCUCUGGUGUGCCAGUUGUCACGCCAGUGGCAUGGCUGGUUGGCUAUGUUCGGAAGGGAUAACCGCUGAAGGCAUCUAAGCGGGAAGCCUGUUCCAAGAUGAGGUAUCCCACCCCUUUGUGGGUUAAGGCCCCCAAGAGACGAUUGGGUUGAUAGGCCAGAAAUGGAAGCACAGUAAUGUGUUGUCGAGUUGACUGGUACUAAUAGGCCGAGGACUUGCCUAC